rnacentral:antisense_RNA from 2 species
AUAGAGCAACAGCUUCUAUGCAGUUUAUUAAGGCCCCGUUAAUCUUCUGUCCCGCCAAGAAUAGAAAGAUUAUCGGGGUUUUGUCUU